rnacentral:rRNA from 1 species
UGCCUACGGGGGGCUGCAGUAGGGAAUAUUGGACAAUGGGGGAAACCCUGAUCCAGCAAUGCCGCGUGAGUGAUGAAGGCCUUAGGGUUGUAAAGCUCUUUUACCCGAGAUGAUAAUGACAGUAUCGGGAGAAUAAGCUCCGGCUAACUCCGUGCCAGCAGCCGCGGUAAUACGGAGGGAGCUAGCGUUGUUCGGAAUUACUGGGCGUAAAGCGCACGUAGGCGGCGAUCUAAGUCAGAGGUGAAAGCCCGGGGCUCAACCCCGGAAUUGCCUUUGAGACUGGAUUGCUAGAAUCCGGGAGAGGUGAGUGGAAUUCCGAGUGUAGAGGUGAAAUUCGUAGAUAUUCGGAAGAACACCAGUGGCGAAGGCGGCUCACUGGACCGGCAUUGACGCUGAGGUGCGAAAGCGUGGGGAGCAAACAGGAUUAGAUACCCGAGUAGUCA